rnacentral:rRNA from 1 species
UACGUAGGGCGCAAGCGUUGUCCGGAAUUAUUGGGCGUAAAGAGCUCGUAGGCGGCUUGUCGCGUCGGUUGUGAAAGCCCGGGGCUUAACUCCGGGUCUGCAGUCGAUACGGGCAGGCUAGAGUUCGGUAGGGGAGAUCGGAAUUCCUGGUGUAGCGGUGAAAUGCGCAGAUAUCAGGAGGAACACCGGUGGCGAAGGCGGAUCUCUGGGCCGAUACUGACGCUGAGGAGCGAAAGCGUGGGGAGCAAACAGG